rnacentral:rRNA from 1 species
GAUGAACGCUGGCGGCGUGCUUAACACAUGCAAGUCGAGCGAGUGAGUUCUUCGGAACAAUCUAGCGGCGGACGGGUGAGUAACACGUGGGCAACCUGCCUCAUAGAGGGGAAUAGCCUCCCGAAAGGGAGAUUAAUACCGCAUAAAAUUAUCGAGUGGCAUCACAUGAUAAUCAAAGGAGUAAUCCGCUAUGAGAUGGGCCCGCGGCGCGUUAGCUAGUUGGUGAGGUAACGGCUCACCAAGGCGACGAUGCGUAGCCGACCUGAGAGGGUGAUCGGCCACAUUGGGACUGAGACACGGCCCAGACUCCUACGGGAGGCAGCAGUGGGGGAUAUUGCACAAUGGGGGAAACCCUGAUGCAGCAACGCCGCGUGAGUGAUGAAGGUCUUCGGAUUGUAAAGCUCUGUCUUUGGGGACGAUAAUGACGGUACCCAAGGAGGAAGCCACGGCUAACUACGUGCCAGCCGCCGCGGUAA